UCCCGCGGCCGCGCGGCCUCCCGGCAGUGCCCGAGCCCGGCCCGCGGGUACCGCCCAGAAGGCGAAGGCGCCACCACCGCCGCAGCUGGCCCUCUGGCUCCCACAUCCGGACUCACCGGCAGCUCCAGCCGCCGUUGCCUCCGCCUCCAGCCGCAUUGCCCUCAGGCCUCGAGUCCCCCACUAGCUCCUUCCGUCCAGGCACGGGCUCCGGCGCUAGAGCAGUUUGAAAAUGGCGCGGAGGGACGAUCGGGGCCGACACGGAGGAGGCGCCGCGGUUGCCCCGGUAACGGGAGCGGCGGACGAUUAGCGGCUCGCGGCGGGGACGCGCUUGGCGACGAUGGCGGAGCCCCAGUGCCCGGAAAUGCAACGGCCCGGACAGCGCGAGGCCACGGCGCCCCCUGGAGGUCGGCGCCCGCGGCCAGCAAAUGCCAAACCUCAGCUGGUGCCUGAGCUGGCAUCCUCUUCCUCCUGUCGGCGGGAGGUGUGGAUCACCUACUGCGUGCGGGGAACAAACGCCGCCCCAGUACCGGUCCCUGCAGCGGAGUAGCCUUCACCUGCAAGGUGAACGCCUGCUCACCACGUAAUCCCCAAACGCAGAUAUCACGUUGUCUCUGCAACUUUCCCUGACAACCACCCAAUGCAAUUAAUUAUCCCACAAUAGUAUCUCCCGCAGGCUCUCUGUAGAACCAUAGAAUUCAUCCAUCAAAAUACAAUCAUUUGUUGAUCCGUCUCUCUCUGCCGCCCCCAAAUGUGAAUUCCUUGAGUCAGAGACUAUUCUACUCAGCAAAACAUUUGUGAGUGGAAUUAAAUUGAAAUAAACCGUUAUAGUCCACUCACAGAUGGAAAACACAUAGUAAAAUCCUAGAAUUCCAUUUCUCCCCUGAAAAUUUCCCAGACAGUCAGAGGGAGUUUCAUUCUUUCCUGUUUACUUUUCUCCCAAAUAGGCCUUCUGAGGCAGCAGAAUAGGGAAGGAAGUCAGAAGACUGACCAGCUCAUACCUAUGGAAUGCCUAUCAUACAUACACUUAAAAUUAUGGCAAGCUCACGCAGGCGCACUAAGAGAGAAAAAACAAGAAAACAGAUAUGACAAUUAUAGGAAAUCCCCUCCCUAGAGUUAAAGAAGUGUAGGAAGUGGGUAUAAAAGAACAAAGGCUAUAUUAAUCCAGGGCUGACACCACUUGAAGAUAAGCCCGUUCCUCUCUCUGGUAUAUUCUUUGCUUA
rnacentral:lncRNA from 10 species